CUUUUUAUUCUUAGGACUUAAUUUUGGAAAGAUUGUGUGUACUUAUUUAUACAGAUAAUUGUAAAUAAGUCGAGCUGAGUUAGUUGUGGUGUUAAACUAUCUUCUCAAUAAGUUCUCUGGCAUGAUCAUCCACUACCGGCGCAGCCUCAACAGCAGGUCGCAGCAGCAGAGGGAUGCAGCAGCAGCACAUAGAGUUCGGCAGCAGCAGAGACCAAGGGUUGUCACAGCUCUCAGUCGCACAAGCUCACCGUUGCAUAACUCUCAGCGCAGAAGUCGAUUUAUAAGACAACUGAGGAAGCUCAACAUCUUAAAAAGUUGAUACAAGACUAUACUGCUUCUUUCAUCAAAGUAGGAGAUAAGGGGAGAAACCAUCGUUGUUCCAUUAUCAAAGGCCUCAUAUUGAAGUUAAUCUUCAGGAAUUUGUAUUUUGUAAUGUUUAUCGCUCUAGUUAUUUUUAUGAAAUUUGAUUCCUGUUAUUAUUUUAUUAAUCCUGUAAUUUGAUUUUAGUAGAAAUUUUUUUCCUGCAAAAAACAUUCUGAUAUUUGUUGGAUAUAAAUUGCCACUAAUUAUCUUUUAAA